UACGAAGGGGGCUAGCGUUGCUCGGAAUCACUGGGCGUAAAGGGUGCGUAGGCGGGUCUUUAAGUCGGGGGUGAAAUCCUGGAGCUCAACUCCAGAACUGCCUUUGAUACUGGGGAUCUUGAGUUCGGGAGAGGUGAGUGGAACUGCGAGUGUAGAGGUGAAAUUCGUAGAUAUUCGCAAGAACACCAGUGGCGAAGGCGGCUCACUGGCCCGAUACUGACGCUGAGGCACGAAAGCGUGGGGAGCAAACAGG
rnacentral:rRNA from 1 species